rnacentral:rRNA from 1 species
GUCAUCUGACGGUAAGAGAUGUACCUUUCCUUCGGGACAGAGGAGACAGGUGGUGCAUGGUUGUCGUCAGCUCGUGUCGUGAGAUGUUGGGUUAAGUCCCGCAACGAGCGCAACCCUUGAUCUUAGUUGCCAGCAUUUCGGGUGGGCACUCUAAGGUGACUGCCGGUGACAAACCGGAGGAAGGUGGGGAUGACGUCAAAUCAUCAUGCCCCUUAUGACCUGGGCUACACACGUACUACAAUGGCCGGUACAACGGGCUGUGAAGCCGCGAGGUGGAACGAAUCCUAAAAAGCCGGUCUCAGUUCGGAUUGCAGGCUGCAACUCGCCUGCAUGAAGUCGGAAUUGCUAGUAAUCGCGGAUCAGCAUGCCGCGGUGAAUACGUUCCCGGGUCUUGUACACACCGCCCGUCACACCACGAGAGUUUAUAACACCCGAAGUCGGUGGGGUAACCGCAAGGAGCCAGCCGCCGAAGGUGGGAUAGAUGAUUGGGGUGAAGUCGUAACAGGGUUAGCCGUA